UGCAACAAACAGCUGACAAUGCUUGAAGAAGGAGCCCUGAACAAGGACUGUAACAAGGACUGUACCCUGGCAUUGAGCCGGGGCAACAUAGAUUGCAACAAGGACUGUACCCUGGCAUUGAGCCGGGGCAACACAGACUGCAACAUCAAGAACUGGCAUUGAGCCGGGGCAGCAUGAUCUGCAACAUUAAGGACUGGCACUAAGCCGGGGCAGCCUGGUUUGCAACAUAUGACUGAUACUGCCGUGAGAACUGGCCCCGGCACUAAGCCAGCAGCUGAUGCUGUCUGGGAAGACAGCCCCGGCAUUGAGCCAGGGCCAAGAGGAACUGCUUUGAUUGGACAAAAGUGACUCAUGCUUGCAUAUGCCUUUUAGUUGCUCUGAUUAUAUUAUAUUGUAAUCUUGCUCUCCCUGCAUAUUCUAUAACUGAUUGUUCUUCUGUACCUGUGCCCACUAUGUACUUUUUUGAUAUACUGUAAUCUUACUAUUGAACUCUGUAACCUGACUGUCUCACAAUUCAUAUAUAUAUAACUGUAACUGCCUUGUAAAAUCAUCAUCUGAGGAUAAAGAGCUCUGAUGAACAACUGAGGUGUCGUGUUUUCUCUCUGCGGGCAGAAGGAACGCGACAUUCUGGUGCCAAAACCCGGGAAGCGAACCAGGCCGAGACUCGAGACGUCAAACCAACACCAACUACCUAGGAUCAACAGGUUCCAGUGUGGGUUCCAGAACGACUGAUACGAAUCACCGCGGUGCCUGCACAAGCCUCCACUGAACAAACCAUUGAAGAUGACACCUCUGAUACUGUUCCUGAGGCUUCAAUCUCUCCUGUAGGUACGGCCUUGCCUCUUCUUUUUUCCAGCCACAGAGAAAAGCUCCGAUUUUACUUAAGUGCCUUCAACAAUGCUUUCCUGCACCAUCGCCUUGUCCAGCAUCUUCAUCUGUUACCUUCCUGAAUCCCGCCUGCCUUUGCGGCUAAAGGCCUUUUACGGCUACAAGUGGCUCAAUGCUAGACCGGAAGCCGAUAACGGGUAAUGUAGGAGGUGGCCAU